rnacentral:rRNA from 1 species
CAGUCGCCACGGUAAGACAGAGGAUGCAAGCGUUAUCCGGAAUGGUUGGGCGUAAAGCGUCUGUAGGUAGCUUUUCAAGUCCGCCGUCAAAUCCCAGGGCUCAACCCUGGACAGGUGGUGGAAACUACCAAGCUGGAGUAUGGUAGGGGCAGAGGGAAUUUCCGGUGGAGCGGUGAAAUGCAUUGAGAUCGGAAAGAACACCAACGGCGAAAGCACUCUACUGGGCCGACAUUGUCACUGAGAGACGAAAGGUAGGGGAGCAAAUGGGAUUAGAUACCCCGGUAGUCCCUGUCUCUUAUAC